ACUAUAUGUUCAACGGCCGCGGUAUUCUGACCGUGCGAAGGUAGCGCAAUCACUUGUCUCUUAAAUGGAGACCUGUAUGAAAGGCAUCACGAGGGCUUAGCUGUCUCCCCUUCAAGGUCAAUGAAAUUGAUCUCCCCGUGCAGAAGCGGGGAUACGCCCGUAAGACGAGAAGACCCUAUGGAGCUUGAGACAUAAGGCGACCCACGUCACAAACCCCUCUAAAAGGAAAUGAACAAAAUGGACUUCGCCGAAAUGUCUUCGGUUGGGGCGACCGCGGGGAAAGACCAAACCCCCACGUGGACCAAGGCCACAAUAGCCUUAAAACCCAGACCCCCUGGUCGAAUCAACAGUAUUUCUGACCACCAAAGAGCCGGCAAUGCCGAUCAACGGACCGAGUUACCCUAGGGAUAACAGCGCAAUCCCCUCCCAGAGCCCUUAUCGACGAGGGGGUUUACGACCUCGAUGUUGGAUCAGGGCAUCCUGAUGGUGCAGCCGCUAUUAAGGGUUCGUUUGUUCAACGAUUAAAGUCCUACGUGAUC
rnacentral:rRNA from 1 species